GGCAAAACUUGAGUUUAAGAGGUGCUUGAAAUUUCUUUUUUGCUACGUAAAAUAAAGGAAAUGCUUCCAAAGAACCGGUCACCAGCCACGUGCCCAGAAUUUCUGCUGCUUUUUAAACACACACCACAUUCAUAACUGAUUGUAUCCCCCUAAGGUCCAACUAGCAAACCCCAGCUAUCGCUUCCGCUCUCCUUUUUGUGUCCUUUUUUUCUCCUUCUCCUUCCGCUCCUGCUUGGCUAACUUGUCCUUCUCUCGCUGGAGUUUGUCUUGCUCCUUCUUCUUCUGGAACUCAUCUCGCAGCAGCUCCCGCUCCAGCUUUCUGGCAUUCAGGACAUCCUCCACGUUGGUGUUUCGGAACAGCGAUUUUUCUGAUCCAAUAUUUACUGCUGUCGCAGUGGAGCUGUCCUGUUCAUCAUCACCAUCCUCUUCAUCCGUCACAUUGGCAUACUGGGCCAGGAGGGCCGCCUUCCUCUGCUUCUCCUCCUGAGAAAUCUCCUUUGGCUUCACGGUGAUCCUGGCCUGCUUCUCCAUCAUGCUGGCGAUCGCCUGGACCUCAUCUUCUUUUUUCUCUUUGGCGUCAACAAUCUGAGAUUCAGACCACUUCUCGACUACUUCCCUGCAAACAUCGUUUAAGAGAUCUUCUUCCAGGCAGGCCGCCAGCACCCCGCGCAGCGCCUCCAGCCGCUCCUCCUCGCUCUCCUCCUCCCGCAGCAGCCCCGCGAUGUACGCCCCGUACACCGCACGGUCCAACCCCAGCGCCUCGAGCCGGGCCGCCAGCCAGGCCCCGAAACCGCCCGGCCCCGCCGCCUCCACGCAGGGCGCCGCCAUCUUGCAGCGCUU
rnacentral:lncRNA from 1 species